rnacentral:sRNA from 1 species
UUGUCAAAAACGAGAAUUCGAAACGGCAGUCUUUAUCAGGAACCACCUCCUUGGCCCGUCCGGCUCCCCCGGACGGGCUUUUCU